rnacentral:rRNA from 1 species
UACGUAGGUGGCAAGCGUUGUCCGGAAUUACUGGGUGUAAAGGGCGCGUAGGCGGGUUUACAAGUCAGAUGUGAAAAUCCGGGGCUCAACCCCGGAAUUGCAACUGAAACUGUAUAUCUUGAGUGUUGGAGAGGGAAGUGGAAUUCCUAGUGUAGCGGUGAAAUGCGUAGAUAUUAGGAGGAACACCAGUGGCGAAGGCGACUUUCUGGCCAACAACUGACGCUGAGGCGCGAAAGCGUGGGGAGCAAACAGGAUUAGAUACCCUGGUAGUCCACGCCGUAAACGAUGGAUACUAGGUGUAGGUGGUUACAAGCCAUCUGUGCCGGAGUUAACACAUUAAGUAUCCCACCUGGGGAGUACGGCCGCAAGGUUGAA